rnacentral:rRNA from 1 species
AGCUCUUUGGAUGAUAUUUGGAGUGAUGCCUGCCCAGUGACGAGGAGUUAAAUGGCUGCAGUACCCUGACUGUGCGAAGGUAGCGCAAUAAUGAGUCCUUUAAUUGGGGGAUAGGAUAAAAGGUUGGACUAAGGUGUGGCUGUCUUGCAUAUAUUGGUAAGAAGUUAUUUUCUUAGUAAAAAAACUAAAAUGUGGCUAAGGGACGAGAAGACCCUAUUGAGCUUUAUUGAUUGUUAAGUAAUAUUUUAUAUGGAUUUUAAAAGGUGUAUGUAUUACAGCUUUUUUUUACUUGGGGGGAUUUAUGAACAAGGAAAACUUCAUUUAACAUUAAAUAAAUAUUAUUUAAGAUCCAAAAUAUUUUGAAAAAAGAGUAAGCUACCAUAGGGAUAACAGCGUGAUUUCUUUUUGGAGUUCGAAUUGAGAGAGAAGUUUACGACCUCGAUGUUGGAUUAGGGGUAGCGGGGGUUGCAGGAGCUUCUGUGGCUAGUCUGUUCGACUAAUUAUGCCUA